rnacentral:rRNA from 1 species
AGUGAACGCUGGCGGUAGGCCUAACACAUGCAAGUCGAACGGCAGCACAGUAAGAGCUUGCUCUUACGGGUGGCGAGUGGCGGACGGGUGAGGAAUACAUCGGAAUCUACUUUUUCGUGGGGGAUAACGUAGGGAAACUUACGCUAAUACCGCAUACGACCUACGGGUGAAGGCAGGGGAUCUUCGGACCUUGCGCGAUUGAAUGAGCCGAUGUCGGAUUAGCUAGUUGGCGGGGUAAAGGCCCACCAAGGCGACGAUCCGUAGCUGGUCUGAGAGGAUGAUCAGCCACACUGGAACUGAUACACGGUCCAGACUCCUACGGGAGGCAGCAGUGGGGAAUAUUGGACAAUGGGCGCAAGCCUGAUCCAGCCAUACCGCGUGGGUGAAGAAGGCCUUCGGGUUGUAAAGCCCUUUUGUUGGGAAAGAAAAGCAGCAGGUUAAUACCCCGCUGUUCUGACGGUACCCAAAGAAUAAGCACCGGCUAACUUCGUG